rnacentral:rRNA from 1 species
CCCUUAGAUGUCCUGGGCCGCACGCGCGUUACACUGAUGCAUUCAACGAGCUUAUAACCUUGGCCGAGAGGCCUGGGCAAUCUUGUUAACGUGCAUCGUGAUAGGGAUAGAUUAUUGAAAUUAUUAAUCUUCAACGAGGAAUUCCUAGUAAGCGCGAGUCAUCAGCUCGUGCUGAUUACGUCCCUGCCCUUUGUACACACCGCCCGACGCUCCUACCGAUUGAGUGCUCAGGUGAAUAAUUCGGACUGCAGCAAUGUUCGGAUCCCGAACGUUGCAGCGGAAAGUUUAGUGAACCUUAUCACUUAGAGGAAGGAGAAGUCGUAACA